CUCCGUGUUGUAGCUAACGCGUUAAGCACUCCGCCUGGGGACUACGGUCGCAAGACUAAAACUCAAAGGAAUUGACGGGGACCCGCACAAGCGGUGGAGCAUGUGGUUUAAUUCGAUGCAACGCGAAAAACCUUACCACUCCUUGACAUGAAGAUUAGAUCCUCCUUAACAGGAGGGCGCAGUUAGGCUGGGUCUUGCACAGGUGCUGCAUGGCUGUCGUCAGCUCGUGUCGUGAGAUGUUGGGUUAAGUCCCGCAACGAGCGUAACCCUCACCCUUAGUUGCCAGCGGGUAAUGCCGGGGACUUUAAGGGAACUGCCAGUGGUAAGCUGGAGGAAGGUGGGGAUGAUGUCAAGUCAGCAUGGCCCUUAUGGGGUGGGCUACACACGUGCUACAAUGGUGACUACAAUAGGUUGCAACGCCGCAAG
rnacentral:rRNA from 1 species